GUUUUCGGAACCGUCAGCAGAUGCGGCUUCCUUUACCUGAAUAAUCCUUUAAAGGAGUAAUAAUUUUUAAAAAGGAGCUCGACCUCAGCCAAAGAGGACGGCGCACGAGAUUAGGGCUUGUAGAUCCACUGCCUUUGGUUGGGCCGGCUGAAUCGCUGGGGACUGCGGCCAGUCUCUUAAAAAAGGAGAACAAAAAGCCGAAGACCUUGUGUGGCCGCCGGGACAAAGCACCUUGGGUUCGGCGAGAAGGGACGCGCAGGAGCGCUGAACCCAGAACACGCGUGGCCGCUGCGGAAGGGCGUCCGCCCGGCGUGCGGAACGCUGAGGGGACUCUCAUCCUCUGUCUCGCCCCCUUUUUUUGACCCGGGGAUCCAGCCGCAUUAUACACGAGUGACCUUUUAAAUCUACGUCCACCCUUUACCUGCGAGAGGACUGCAGCAGGCGAGUUCCGGAAGGCUGAAUCCCCAGGUCCCAGCCCCGGACCGCGGCAACUCGCCCCUGCGGCACGCCCGGCCCGGCUGCGCCCCCACUCAGCGAUGGAGGAAAAAGCCUGGAUGCGAAAGGAUGGGGGAGAACAAAGAGCCUUUGGAAGACGUCGCUGUUAUCUCAUUGUCUGUGUGAUUGGGGGAGCUGCGGCGGGGAGGAUGCUGUGGUCCCUUCCUCCGGCGUUCCCCACCCCCAUCCCUCUCCCCGCUGUCAGUGCGCACGCACACGCGCCGCUUUUUAUUUCUUUUUCCUGGUUUUCUUAUUCCAUCUUCUACCCACCCCUCUUCCUUUCUUUCACCUUUCCUUCCUUCCUUCCUCCUUUCCUUCCUCAGGAGAAAGGCCUCUCUCUCCGUGUUCACAGCGGACCUUGAUUUAAAUGUCCAUACAAUUAAGGCACGCGGUGAAUGCCAAGAAUGGGGCUGGCUGAGCACCGUGGGUCGGCGAGGGCCCGCCAAGGAAGGAGCGACCGACCGAGCCAGGCGCCCUCCGCAGACCUCCGCGCAGCGGCCGCGGGCGCGAGGGGAGGGGUCUGGAGCUCCCUCCGGCUGCCUGUCCCGCACCGGAGCCCGUGGGGUGGGGAGGUGUGCAGCCUGUGACAGACAGGGGCUUAGAGAUGCAAACAGACUCAGGGAGAGAAACAGAAGCUGAUUCUGUGACAGAAGCAGAUCUGUGCAGCACAGAUGCGGUGUGCGUGGGGAGGGGGUCGCCUGGGAGCGCAUUGCGGAGUGCUUGUGUGUGCAGAUUUUUCUCUGGGCUCAGGACUCAUUGUAUGUGGGUCAACACCUUCCUCCGUGACUGUGUUUUUGUUCUGAGCUGAGUUUUUUGGUUUGCCCUUAAAAAAAUAAUAAUUUGGCAUCCAGAGACUGGCAGACUGCCUCAGGGCCUGGACUGCGGAUAUAUUGUGUUCUGCUUGAGGUUUGGGGAGGAGGGCAGGCGGUAGGAAGGGAGAGGGGGAGCUGUUUGUCACACUUUGCUGUAGAGCUGAGAGCACCUGACAAGCUUAAGGAAGUCGUUGGGCUAUGUGGACAAGAAGGAGCCAGCUCCCAGCGGGUUCACAAGCUCUAUCGGAGUUGAAAGCGUGGUCAUGGCUCUAAGGAGCACCUCACGCCCUCCCUGUAGCUGUUAUUGCAGUUUCAGGCAGAGAUCCAGGAGCUGCAGAGGAAGGGAGAGGCACAAUAACCUACAUGGACCCAAGGGAGACAUGUGUUCCUUUAAAAAUGUGAACAGAAGGAAAAACAGAAUGUGUGCAACUGGGGGUCUGAGGAAAGACUGUUUUGAAAGAGGCUGUCAGGGAAUGGAAAGGGUUAAGCUUUUCAUCCUGAAGAACCUGCUUCCCAAAUCAGGCCUUCCUCCCAUCACUAGACCCUGAGCAGCAGCUGGUCCUAGAGACCCCCCUCGUACUGCGCUGCCACAGUCUCAUCCCAUUUCCAGCUCUGUAUUAACCACCAAGCUGCAGCGGAUGGGGCAAGACCUAAGCUCAUUAAUUUCCAGGUGGAGGAAAUGGAGGAGGGGCAGGUCCCUGCAGUAGAGGGAGGAGCAGAGAAAGGAGGCCAAGAGCUGGAUCCUUCUGCCCAGGAAGCCUGCUGCAUCCCUUCCCCCGAGCAUGGCAGAGGCCUGGCUUUGCAAGGCCAAGGCCAUAAGGGAUGCUUAGGAGAUUAAUUUGAUUCCUGACACAAUAAUCAAGCCCUAAGAGUCUCCACUGAAGCUUACUGAGGACUUCUUUCCUCUCCAAAGCCUCAGUCUAGCCUGCUAAAUAAAUUAGUAUUCAGUGAUGCCUUGGAUCAGGGCCCCUCCCCGGCCUCAGUUUCCCCAAAUAUUUAUUAAGUACCUACUGUGUGCAAUCCUUGUGUAAUUAUUAACUCUUAGGCUCUUCAUUUGCCCUCCUAAAGCAGUGUUUAGAGUCAGGCAGAGGUUAAGUGUGUUGCACCUCACCUAGAUACUUCCAGAACCUUCUCUGGGUCUGCAGAAUGUGGCACAACCUGCUUGCCCCCGCAGAGAGAAAGCUGCAGUGCACAUCCUGCAGACUGCAGGUGCUGGGCUGCCUCUGGAGUCCCAGAAGGCAAGCUUGGCUGCAGGACAGAAAGGGAGAACAGCUUCUCUCACCCCUGAGCCUUCACAAGCCCUUGUCUAUUUGCCGUUGCCUUCAAAAUAUACCUCCCCCGAAACCAGUAGCUUUCUGAGUCCUGGUGUCCCCUCCGCCCUUUCUGGACAGGUUUGGGAAGAAGAAAGCAGUCAGUGCUGGGCCUUAUUGGGGUGUGAAGCGCCUUGCUCUGCCCCUUCUGCUCACUGUGAAGGCCGCUGGAUGCUUCUCUUAGGCAUGGUUUAAGCCUCCGAUUACUAAACCCCUUGCCCCACAAACGUCCACAUUGACGAGCCUCUUUUUAGUAACUGCUUCCCCGUAAUUCCUUCAGAGGUUGCUGUACCCUUCGCUGAUGUGCUGCCCUCCUGUAAAACCUCCAGAUGCCUUCCCACGUAAUGCCCCUUUCAGAUGCUUUAAGCUGAGAGCUUAAACCACAGGUACCAUGGCUGACGCCUGCCAGGUUUCUGCUGCAGAUAAUCUAUGAUGGGAGGGGCAUAUUUUUUACUUCAUUACUUAUGUAAACUCUUGUUCCAGAAAGCUUUAAUGUGUGUGGGAGUGUUCUGGGUCUAUUAGGUCUGUGCGCAUGGGUGUGGGCAUUUGCCUGUGUCCACCGGGUGGGUCUCAUUAUGAAAUGUAUGUUUAUGUAGGGCUUUAAUGGCUGAAAAUGGCAAAGAGAUGAAUAGACCACUUGGCCCCAUGUGUAAUUGCCAGGCCCCUUCUGUGCUCAAAUGAGGUGUCCGAGUGAAGGUCAGCCCUUCCCUUCUGUAUUUGGGGCCUAUUUAUGCCACCAGUAAUUUUAUAAGAAAUCUGAAUAGUUCUCCCCUUUGAGUGCAUUUAACUCUUUAGUAUCUUCUCUCUUACCUAUUUGAGCCCCUCUAGCUACAGUCUGGCUUAAAUGAAAGGGGAAUUAUAUGCUUAAGAAAAAGUAGGACACGGUUGAGGCAGUUUGCUGACUGAAUACGCGAAGAAGGACCUGAUGGGCUCAUAUGCACCACUGCCAUCACAGUCCCCAUCGUGAUGCAAGCUUAUAUGAUUCUUGAGAAACAGCCCAGAUCUCCUCUUAAGCGGAAAAGAGAUUGACCUUCUAGCAGAGGCAAAGCAGUUCCGUAACAACCUGCGCAGUGUC
rnacentral:lncRNA from 1 species